rnacentral:rRNA from 1 species
UGGGGAAUCUUGCGCAAUGGGCGGAAGCCUGACGCAGCGACGCCGCGUGUGUGAAGAAGGCCCUCGGGUUGUAAAGCACUUUCAGCGAGGAAGAACGCCUAGUGGUUAAUACCCAUUAGGAAAGACAUCACUCGCAGAAGAAGCACCGGCUAACUCCGUGCCAGCAGCCGCGGUAAUACGGAGGGUGCAAGCGUUAAUCGGAAUUACUGGGCGUAAAGCGCGCGUAGGUGGCUUGAUAAGCCGGUUGUGAAAGCCCCGGGCUCAACCUGGGAACGGCAUCCGGAACUGUCAAGCUAGAGUGCAGGAGAGGAAGGUAGAAUUCCCGGUGUAGCGGUGAAAUGCGUAGAGAUCGGGAGGAAUACCAGUGGCGAAGGCGGCCUUCUGGACUGACACUGACACUGAGGUGCGAAAGCGUGGGUAGCAAACA